AGCUGACUGGGCUAUUGAUUAGUUCGUUUUUUGCUGG
rnacentral:ribozyme from 1 species